rnacentral:lncRNA from 1 species
GUAGCCUUAGAAUCGAAUCAUCUUGUCAAUCCUCACUUCAAUCGUAAGUUGAUUCAAGUCAGCGAGAAAGAAGGGAAUUGCUUGGUUGAUAGGGCCCCGCCCUUCGAGUUUGUCUCCAUCCCGUACUGAUUAGAAAGAUUUACGCGGUUAGAUCGAAAUUACUUAUUAUCGACACGGAUUGGUAACUCCUUCUACUGAUAGAAAAGAAAAGAACAAGCAUAUUGCUUGCAAAGACUCCCACCCUAUUCUUAUUAGUAGGCAAGGGUCACUCACAACGGAUAUCAUUAUGGCACCCGGGCAGUACGAGAUCAGGGAGCCUUCCAAAGGGCUCUAUUACCUAGAUUGGAUAGUCAGAAGGGGCGCCCCACCCAAUGUGAAUUGAGAAGUAUUAAAGAUCGUAUAGAGACGAUAGAAUAUAACACUACUUUAAGUUGAACGGCUG